rnacentral:rRNA from 1 species
AGGACUAACGCUGGCGGCGUGCCUAACACAUGCAAGUCGAACGAGGUAGCAAUACCUAGUGGCAGACGGGUGAGUAACACGUAGUCAACCUUCCCGAUAGUGGGGGAUAACUAGCCGAAAGGUUAGCUAAUACCGCAUACGAUCUUCGAGUGGCAUCAUUUGAAGAUGAAAGGAGCAAUCCGCUUUCGGACGGGACUGCGUCCCAUUAGCUAGAUGGUGGGGUAAUGGCCUACCAUGGCAACGAUGGGUAGCUGGUUUGAGAGAGCGACCAGCCACACUGGGACUGAGAACGGCCCAGACUCCUACGGGGGCAGCAGUGAGGAAUUUUCGUCAAUGGGGGCAACCCUGAACGAGCAACGCCGCGUGCAGGAGAGGUUUCGGAUCGUAAACUGCUUUUCGUCGGGGAAGAGAACGGACGGUACCCGAGGAAUCAGCCCCAGCUAACUACGUGCCAGCAGCCGC